GGGCGAUUAGCUCAGCUGGAAGAGCGCCACGUUCACACCGUGGAGGUCGGGAGAUCGAGACUCCCAUCGCCCACCC
rnacentral:tRNA from 1 species